AAAUAAGCUGGUCAGCAUAGGAUGGCAAGCAAACUAAUUUGUGACACAUCAUUGCCAUCUUGCUGAUUUUGUAGCAGCAAACUUAUGAUGCAUCCUUUGGAUGCGAUGGAACUCGUCAGAAAGGUACAACAAUCCUUUGGAUGCGAUGGAACUCGUCAGAAAGGAACAACAAGUGCACCCACAAGAGGAAAGCUGUUACAAUUAAAUGGAGAAUUAGAUAGGCUCAAAACGGUGCAUACAUCAAAUAACAUUCGUCUGAGUAAAAACUAAUAAAUGAUAUUACACAAUCAGAAGAAUCUAGUUUCAGACAUCCAAGGAAGGAUUGAAGCAGCAUUAGCUCUCAAGCCUGGCGAAAGCGAAAGCUUUAGGCGGCCACUGCGAAUGUUUUGAGAAACAAGCCUUAUGGAUUUUGUCAUCAUCAACAGACGGGUAUCUAACCAUGAUAAAGGCAAAUCAAGUUUCACAUACACACAACACAUAUAACUAAACAAAUAAAGGCAUAUCAAGUUUAACAUACAAAUAACACAUAAGAGGAUGCAUGUUCAAGAUAUUCAAUGCCAUCGACCGGACAAUGGUAGAAUCAAUUAAAAAAAUGUGCUUAAGCUUACUAGACCAGCUUCAAGGAUAAGACUCAGCAAAUCUGAAGAGCAAAAGACAUUGAUAUACGAGAAGUUAAACACCUUCUUAGCUAUUUUAAUAUCAGCAAAGAGGCUGCCUGAAUCACUGCUCGAUAUUUAUAGUAGAAAAAGGAAAUCUAAUUACAGUGAACUUAAUUGCAAAAUAAAUCUCAAGUUGUAUCAGUCACGCAAAACAAAAUCCGCCAGCAAAGAAGAUCUGAGCGAACAAAGUGAACGGAUGAGAAGAUUGAUAUGGGGAGCUGCAUUCAUCUCUAUGGCACUAUUAACUCAACCAAAGAGCCAAACUCCAGCCCCGAAAUAGUGAAACUAGCACCAUUAUUCAAGAAUUACAUGACAUCGUACAAACGGCAUUCACAGCUAAACUAGUGAUGGAGGAUGACAAACACAGCUAAAUCUUGCUGUGUUAUUAAACGAGCAAAUUAAUAUAACUGGGACAACAAAGAACAUUUGUCUCAAAACAAAUAAUUGCAUUAAAUACAACAGCUAAAAUAAUGGAAUAUACAAAUAGAUAAAUUUAGAUUUCAGACAUCCAAGGAAGGAAUGUAGCAGCAUUAACUCUCAAGCCUGGCGAAGGCGAAAGCUUU
rnacentral:lncRNA from 1 species